rnacentral:rRNA from 1 species
UGACGGUAUCUUACCAGAAAGGGACGGCUAACUACGUGCCAGCAGCCGCGGUAAUACGUAGGUCCCGAGCGUUGUCCGGAUUUAUUGGGCGUAAAGCGAGCGCAGGCGGUUUGAUAAGUCUGAAGUAAAAGGCUGUGGCUUAACCAUAGUACGCUUUGGAAACUGUCAAACUUGAGUGCAGAAGGGGAGAGUGGAAUUCCAUGUGUAGCGGUGAAAUGCGUAGAUAUAUGGAGGAACACCGGUGGCGAAAGCGGCUCUCUGGUCUGUAACUGACGCUGAGGCUCGAAAGCGUGGGGAGCGAACAGGAUUAGAUACCCUGGUAGUCCACGCCGUAAACGAUGAGUGCUAGGUGUUGGGUCCUUUCCGGGACUCAGUGCCGCAGCUAACGCAUUAAGCACUCCGCCUGGGGAGUACGACCGCAAGGUUGAAACUCAAAGGAAUUGACGGGGGCCCGCACAAGCGGUGGAGCAUGUGGUUUAAUUCGAAGCAACGCGAAGAACCUUACCAGGUCUUGACAUCCCAGUGACCGUCCUAGAGAUAGGAUUUUUCUUCGGAACACUGGUGACAGGUGGUGCAUGGUUGUCGUCAGCUCGUGUCGUGAGAUGUUGGGUUAAGUCCCGCAACGAGCGCAACCCCUAUUGUUAGUUGCCAUCAUUUAGUUGGGCACUCUAGCGAGACUGCCGGUAAUAAACCGGAGGAAGGUGGGGAUGACGUCAAAUCAUCAUGCCCCUUAUGACCUGGGCUACACACGUGCUACAAUGGCUGGUACAACGAGUCGCAAGUCGGUGACGGCAAGCUAAUCUCUUAAAGCCAGUCUCAGUUCGGAUUGUAGGCUGCAACUCGCCUACAUGAAGUCGGAAUCGCUAGUAAUCGCGGAUCAGCACGCCGCGGUGAAUACGUUCCCGGGCCUUGUACACACCGCCCGUCACACCACGAGAGUUUGUAACACCCGAAGUCGGUGAGGUAACCUUUUAGGAGCCAGCCGCCUAAGGUGGGAUAGAUGAUUGGGGUGAAGUCGUAACAAGGUAGCCGUAUCGGAAGGUGCGGCUG